GCCCUUGGGUCCGGCAUAACCCCGGGAAACUGGGGAUAAUUCCGGAUAACGCACAUAUGCUGGAAUGCUUUAUGCGUAAAAUGGAUUCGUCUGCCCAAGGAUGGGUCUGCGGCCUAUCAGGUAGUAGUGGGUGUAAUGUACCUACUAGCCAACAACGGGUACGGGUUGUGAGAGCAAGAGCCCGGAGAUGGAUUCUGAGACAUGAAUCCAGGCCCUACGGGGCGCAGCAGGCGCGAAAACUUUACAAUGCGGGAAACCGUGAUAAGGGGACACCGAGUGCCAGCAUCAUAUGCUGGCUGUCCAGGUGUGUAAAAUACACCUGUUAGCAAGGGCCGGGCAAGACCGGUGCCAGCCGCCGCGGUAACACCGGCGGCCCGAGUGAUGAUCGUGAUUAUUGGGUCUAAAGGGUCCGUAGCCGGUUUGGUCAGUCCUCCGGGAAAUCUGACGGCUUAACCGUUAGGCUUUCGGGGGAUACUGCCAGGUUUGGAACCGGGAGAGGUAAGAGGUAGUACAGGGGUAGGAGUGAAAUCUUGUAAUCCCUGUGAGACCACCUGUGGCGAAGGGGUCUUACCAGAACGGGUUUGACGGUGAGGGACGAAAGCUGGGGGCACGAACCGGAUUAGAUACCCGGGUAGUCCCAGCCGUAAACGAUGCUCGCUAGGUGUCAGGCAUGGCGCGACCGUGUCUGGUGCCGCAGGGAAGCCGUGAAGCGAGCCACCUGGGAAGUACGGCCGCAAG
rnacentral:rRNA from 1 species